CCCUUUCCUCCUUCCACCAUGUGAGAAUGCAGCAAGAAGGUGCCCUGUAUGAAGCAGAGGGCCCUCACCAGGCACCGAAUCCGGUGGCACCUUGAUGUUGAACUUCUCGGCCUUCAGAACUGUGACACAGAGAAUGAGUGGAAUACUAAUACAUUGAAGGGCAAAAUCAAAACCCCAGAAGAUCUCUAAAAGUCUGAAUGAAUCAGCCCAUAUUACAAGAUAAAGUCCAUAAUGGUAAACGGAAGGCUCUGGUCUUGGUUUACAAAAUCCAACCACUCAAAUAUGUAGUUGCUGGAAGUUUUGUGGCCAUGGGGAUGCUGACAAAGAUUGCUUGGGAUGCACACAAGGCAGCGGCGAAGCCUGAGGGGUGCUGCCAGGCCGGGCUCUCCACUGGCCACGAAUUUGUACAUAUGGCUUUGGAAACCUCAUCCAACACUAAGUAAUGAACAUACAUGAGGAUACUAUGUAUUUUUCAACCUGCAAGCCCAAGAUUUCAAAUUCUUUGGUUUAUCGCAGAGAACACAUCUCUCAAAUUGUCUUCAAGGAGCACUGCAGGAGAAAGUCCUGGCAACUUGGCGCAGCGAAUUUGAUCAGCACCAUACGUACGACCUGUCUCAGGAACGGUGCCAUGUGUGUGACUAGGACUGCAAAGCAGCUUGUGUUCGUGGGGGAAAUGACAGGCACAGGAAGGAAAAGCUGAGAACACUGAAACGGUUCCUAAUCGUGCAGUGGGGAAAGGAGGGCGACUGCCGCGCAGAGUGGCACGUUGGCUGGAAGAGGGGAUUGAUCAGCAGUGCUGGCAGGAACAGCAUAGGCUUGUCGUGUGAUCUAACAGAAGAGGCAGCAAUCUGGAGGCGCCCCAGAUCAGAGAAGAGACAUCAAGCCCCAGGAGAAAUGGAUUUCCUUUCUCCCCACCCAUCAGCUGGGUAGGAAGCCCGAAGGAGCCUUUCAUGGAACUAUGGGAAGGGCUCCUCUGACGCAGAGGGGAUGAACUGGAAGCAAGAUGCUGACUGUUUCCAAAGGCUUGACAGUCAGAAGCAGGCAGGCUUCAGCCUAUUGAGAUACUUUACCCAAGAGGAUUUCCGCUUAGGUUCUGUCUUGAAAGAAAUAUUCGCUCCCAAAUUUCCUCCCAUCAAGAGUGCUUCUCCCUACAGAAGGCUAAGGCUCACAGGUUGUCCCCAGGGACACAUUUCUUUCAAGUAGGAUGACUGGUAUGUUUAGACUGAAAAGCUGAUUUACUGGAAGAUUGCUAUCACCCCCUGGCCUACCAUGUCGUUGGUGUGGCCAGUGUUUAUCAGACAGUGGUGUUUCCAGCUUAGGCCUGAAUGGAAGAAGAAACUGAAAGAAGAAAUAAAAAGAGAGAUGCGCCGGGCAUGGUGGCUCAUGCCUGUAAUCCCAGUGCUUUGGGAGGCCGAGGUGGCAGACCACUUGAGGUCAGGAGUUCAAGACCAGCCUGGCCAACAUGGUGAAACCCCGUCCCUACUAAAAAUACAAAAAAUUAGCUGGGUGUGGUGGCGUGUGCCUGUGGUCCCAGCUACUCCGGAGGCUGAGGCAGGAGAAUUGCUUGAACCCGGGAGGCGGAGGUUGCAGUGAGCCAAGAUUGUACCACUGCACUCCAGCCUGGGCAACAGAGUGAUACUCUCUCAAACAAGACAAAACAAACAAAAAAGAGGAG